UUUAAUUUAUAUUCAAUGAACUUUGUGAACACUGAGGUUAUCCAUAAAUAGGGUUGUUGGUUCAAAGAAGGGGCCUUCAUCCUGUAAAACAACAAUUUCUGCCAACCCAGUGUGGAAACCGUGAAACUCAAUAGUAAGACAAAUAUACGAGCUUUUUCUAGUUUUAUUGAGUUCUGAUAUUUCAGUUUCUGAUUGUUAAUUUUCUUAGCUGAUUUUUUUUCAACUCAUUCAAUCCACACCAAUUUUUCUUUGACCAACUAAAAUUUCCGCAUCAGAAUCGCUUACAUCGAUUUUUGGUUAGAUUUUCAUUUGUUGUCGGUUUCAACAAACUUGAGCAAUUAAGGCAAUAGUAGUUCGAACCAACAAACCAAUUUUUGUUAGAUUCAGAUAUCUGCUCAUCUACCCUCGUAUAAAUUCCAUUACUUCCACAUCUGUACAGAUUUUGCUAAGGCUAAGGUCAUCAAAAUCUACAGUAAAAAAUAACGAGAAACAUUGUUUCAGGUUGAUUCACUAGCUUCCAUAACAUAUAAAAAAGACACGGAAAUUAUUGAAUUGACGCAUGAAUGUGAUGUGAUUCCGGAGCCCGGGCUGUCAAAAUAUUGCGAAGCGCUUCUGAAUGACAAAGAGAAUUAUUCUCCUUUUGACGACUCUGAUGCGGAUCCAACGUAUUCACC